GGACCAGGGACUCUGAGGGCCGGAUGGUGCUGUUGGUGUGUACCCAGCAUCUGGCCUGGCUCGGUCCUCGCUGUGGUGUCCGGGAGAUCACCGACCUCUUCCUUUACCUGCAUAGCAUUCCCAGGUGGGAACGGGGCCUGCCUUCGGCUGGGGGGCAGGGCUUGGAAGGGCUGGGUCCUGGGAGGUGGGUGUGCCAGAAGUGCCAAGGGCCCGAGAGUCACCCCCAGUCUGCUCUGCUUUUGGCAGACCUGAGGAUCAGGCCCGCGGACUGACUGUGCUGGUGGACGCCUAAUGCUGCCUGCCCUACUCCAGGCUCUUCCAGGGGCUUCUCCAGAUGCAGGUGAGCCUGGGCUGGCUGGGUCCCUGGCCUGGGCUGGCCUCCCUGUGCCUGUGUUCAGGUGUGGGGACGGGAGGCAGGGGUUGGGUGUGGGAAGGCUCGACAGUCCUGAGGCCUGUUAGGGAGGGCUCCAAGGUUCAGGGGCAAGGGCUCCCUGGGACUGAGGUCUGGGCUAAUGGCUGUUUCAGAACAUUGUCCCAGGCUCUGUGCACCAGGUCCUUCUGCUGGGGAAAAUGUUGGGGGCUCCACCUCCAGGACUGAAGGUACCUAGGCUGGGCUUCCCCCGACCACUUGGCCUGCCCAACGCCAAUCACGGCUGGUGUGGCCCUGCUCCCUGCCAGCCUGCGGGUCACGGGCCCCCAUCCAGGUCAUUCCUCUUGCCCUGGAUCCCUUUCCCCCAGGUGUCCAUGAUUCCUUCCUUUGAUGCUUCUCUCCCCACAGGCUCUUCUCUCCUUCAUCCCUACCUCCCAGCUGCCCUUCACUCUGGGGGGCCGUCUCCACUACAACCACGAUGCUUGGCUGGGUUUCCAAAAGCUGCUGGAAGCCUUGCAGGAGAGCUACCUGGAGGCCCUUGCCCUGCUCCACAGGGCCAUCCAGAACCUAAAAGGAGAUCCCAGGCCGGGGACUGCUGGGGUGAGUGUGCAUGGUGGCUCCCGGGGGUGGUCACAUCACCCCCUUGCCCCCCACCCCCUCUGUGGCACUGCCUUCUUGCUCUGCUCAUCUCUGUGGUGUCUGUGCCCAUCCUCGGGGACUGACGCAGCUGUUGUGGGACCCACGGGAGCUGAUGGAGCGUGUGCUGGUAUACCCUCUGCUGCUGUGGUUGCAGCGGGAAGGUGGCAUGGCCCUGGCAGAGCUCCAGAGGGAGGAGCCGGGUGGCAUGCAGAGCUCGGACCACAGGUGGGCAUUGUGGAGAGGCCUCAGGGUGGUGGAACUUCCCAUCCCAUGGUGCCCCGCUCAAGAGGGACAAUUGUUUCUCAUGCCAGGCUGGCGGUGGAGGAGGUGGGGAAGCUGUACGCCCAGGCGGAUGGGAUGCUGCAUGAGCUGGUCACUUGUGCAACCAACGGAUAUGGACACGAGUUGGAAAAGAUGCUGAAGGCCCAGACAAAACCGCUGGCCGAGAUUGAGACGUGGCUGCAGAACGUCGGCUGGCCGGGGCUGACGGUGCCGAAGGACCCUUUGCUGAACAUGCUGCUUCAGGCCCAGGAUGCCUUCUUCAGGCUUGACUGGGCUUCCCAGGUGGGCUCGGGUCAGAGGAGAGCAGGAUACAGGAUUCUUUUUUGUGGGGCAGAAUGGAGGGCAUGCAGGCAGAGGCCAGCCCAGGCUUGGUGGUGGUGGGUGGGGUAGUGUGGGUAGUUCUAUAUCAAGGGAUCCUAGGACCUCAGGAACCUUAUUGAUCCACUCUCCCAUUCCAUAGAUUACAAGACCAAGGCCCAGAAGCCAUCCUGGGGUAGCAGCAGGGGAGCAAGGCUGGCAGAAGGCAGGAGGGGCAGAGGGCAUCCCAGGUCUAGGGUGGGUUUGACCGGCCCUUCACUCUCCCCAGAAGUUCAUCCGUCGUGGGGAGGAGAUGAUGGUCGGCUGGGAAAUGGCCGAGCUGGGCCACCUGGGCACCCCUGGGGCCCACCUCAUGUCCCUGCGCGCCCAGCUGUCCGACUACUCCAAGGCGCUCGACCGGCGCCAGCAGCAGCUCAAGGAUGCCCAGGAGCUUUCUCAGAUGCUGGAUCAGGUGACGGGGCCCGGGCCCACUCCACAGAGGACUUGGGUGAGAGGCAGGAGGCUGGGGGUGGGGAUCCUGGGCCUCCCUUUCCCUGUCUGUGAAAGGAGAACAUUGAUGUCUCUUCUGGCUCUCGGCCUCCAGGUCGGCGAGCAGGAGGGGAGGCAGCUGGUGUCCAAUGCUAGCCUCUCCCCUCUUUUCCCGGGCGGGCAGGGCCCAUGCCCACUGCAGACAGGGAGGCCAGGCUGAGAAGGGCCAGGACCAUGCCUUUCUCCCAUUAUUCUCCAAAAAGGGGGCCCUCCUGUCGCUUGCUGAGAGGACCCUGAUUGUCGGGGAAGGUCUGAGGAAGGGAGUUUCCUUUCCAAAGGAAGCUGAUU
ensembl:lncRNA